GACGAACGCUGGCGGCGUGCUUAACACAUGCAAGUCGAACGGUGAAGGGGCCUGCUUUUGUGGGCCCUGGAUGAGUGGCGAACGGGUGAGUAACACGUGAGUAACCUGCCCCCUUCUUCUGGAUAACCGCAUGAAAGUGUGGCUAAUACGGGAUAUUCUGGGUCUGUCGCAUGAUGGGUCUGGGAAAGAUUGCGCCUUUGGGUGUUUUUGGUGGGGGAUGGGCUCGCGGCCUAUCAGCUUGUUGGUGGGGUGAUGGCCUACCAAGGCGGUGACGGGUAGCCGGCCGGAGAGGGUGGGCGGUCACACUGGGACUGGGACACGGCCCAGACUCCUACGGGAGGCAGCAGUGGGGAAUAUUGCACAAUGGGCGCAAGCCUGAUGCAGCGACGCCGCGUGAGGGAUGGAGGCCUUCGGGUUGUAAACCUCUUUCGCCAGUGAAGCAGGCCUGCUCCUUGUGGGUGGGUUGACGGUAGCUGGAUAAGAAGCGCCGGCUAACUACGUG
rnacentral:rRNA from 1 species